AGGUGAAAGAGAUGGAGUUGCUAGUCACUGGAGAUCAAGGGCUUACUAUGUCGACAGGAACAUGUCUUAUAAAGAGCAUAUCGUCCACUGAGCCCAGAUGCAUGGCGAGACGCUAGGCGCUAGCUGCAAGAUCACAGGUUUGGUAAACCAGCUUUUAAAACCAGCAGGCCAAGUGGUGGUCAGGUCAGCCCAUAAGGCUAUUUCCAUUCCUUCCUUUUCCACCAACCUCACUCCUUGCUGUCCCUUCCCACACCCUAUACUUCAUCAAUUUUCUUCUUUAAUCCCAGACAUUCUUUUUUACCUUCUUGUCAUGAUUUCAUCAUUUCUAACCUCUUCCCUUCCCACAAACCUUCAA